ensembl:lncRNA
GCCGGGUAGAAAACAGAGAUGGAGCCUACUCCACCUGACUAGUGAGGUCCAGAAGUUUCGUUCUCCAGAUUCGGUACAGUGAGACUACCUGCCGGAGGUGUUUCAGAGCUAUUUGAGGAGCAGGGAUGCCCACGAGUUCCAUCCUUACUUUGUGUUUCCUUUUAGUUAUUAGCGAUGCUGUUGGAUGAGGCUUAGCCGUUUCAUAUGAAAGAAAAAGAAUUUGCUCUUAGGGAUCCGGGAGCAGCAGUACAAUCGCGGUGUUUUUUAUUUUAAAUAGGACUCUUCACAGUGUUAUUUUUGACCGGCGAACCUUCGGGUUCUUUUAAAGUUAUAUUUUUGUUUAUAUUCCUGGGUGAGCGGAAGGGAGAGGACGGGAGGAGCUUCCUGUGUGCCUGCCUGCAGGUGCACCAAUGCUCAGCAGAGGGCACUGAAUGCUGGGGAAACAUGCUUGUGAGCUGCCUGAAGAGGAAAUCAAUCUUUCAGGUUAAAGGGCAGCAAGAGUUCUUAACUGCUGAACCAUCCCUCCAGCCCCUUGUCCCUCUUUGAUCUUUGCUCUGAGGGGGAGGAGAGAAGAAUUGGGGGAUUUGAAACCCUCUUCCUGAACUUUAAGCAACACAUUGAUACCUGCAUGUAUGGCACAACUGAAGCAACAGCAACAUUUCCCUGUCCUGUGGGAAUGGCCUCGCGGACUAGUAAGGCCACUUUCUUGCUCCUAGCACCUUGCAUCUGAUGCUUCGUUCUCAAGGAAAAUCUCUUAAGACUCUCUUCUGGCUGUGGCCAGUUUCUGGAAUCCCUGAUUGGUUUAGUCAGAGCUCGUGGAAAUCACUAUUACUAAUAGGCAUGGGCAAGUACAUGUUGUGUCAUCUGGGACUCUAGCAUUGGAAUUCAUGGGGCAUCUUGUAACAGGAGGCCUGGACUGAGUACUGUAACUGAACUCUGAGGUUCUAACACGCUCCCAACAAGAGUAAUGAUGGAACUGUAGGGUUUAAUCCAAAUGCAAAAUGCCCAUGUGAGGAAUACAGAAAUUAAUCCAGUCUUUUAGAAAACUGACAUCAGCUUGAGUUUAAGUUGAGGAACAAUUUGUGCAGGACCCAGAGGGCUUCCUGACUAAGUGCUGUCAUCUGACUGUGCUAUAGGAGAUCAUCAUCUCAGUUCCUGUUCUUCCAGGUGGUUUGAAGAAGUCCGACUGUUUGAGAGAACCUUCUGGUUCCCUAAUUCUGCCCCUACUUAAGGCUAAAGCCAUGUUGCAAUCUGAAACAUGAGCUUGAGGUCACUGGAUCCUGUUGUUGAUUGGUCUUCCUGGCACAUUGGUUAAAUUUCUGCAUGGCAAUGAAGUUUGGCUGGUCCCCCACAAAGGAAAAGAGUCAGAGAAUGUAGACAGGCUGACAGUUUGUCAGUGUCAUCAGUUUGGAAAGUUGUCCUUGGCAGUGUUCUGAAGAAGUGUCCUUCCCAAUCCUUGAACUGUUCUAACCUUUGCCUGAAGGCUAAACUCUAAAAGACAGGCCCCAACUAGGGGAUUAUCAUGUUGACUGCCAAAUCUUUCUCUGUAUUCACAAGGCCCAGAAAAUCUGGUGUGCUUUGUAAGCCCCUCCUGAAUCUGCACGAAGUCUGAGUCCAUUUCAGUCUUCUGGACAGAGACAAAGGAAGGAAAAGUAUAAUAUGACUGCUAACUUGCUCAGCACCCUUUACCUACCCACCCUGCAUCCCAACAUGUCAUGUGGAAAAGUCCUCAUUUUUUAUAUUGAGAAGGGUUUUUUGUUUGUUUGAUUAAUUUUUGAUUUUUCAGUGAAGUCAUUUUCUUUGUGUCAAUACCUUUUUCUCUACACUUACCAGGCUGUUGUAAGAAAUAAACUGAGAAACAUUUGAUCUCUCCUCUUCCUCCACCAAGUGCUGACCCUCAGGCUGCACCACCAAUAAAUAGGGACCUGAAGAAAGGAAUGGGAGUUGUGUUUAUUUAAAAAAAGAUUAGACAGAAGGAAUACGUUUGGUGGAUGUGUAGUCAGGUUUGUUUAAGGGGCACCUCAUUGAGAGUCUGCUCAGAGCACUUGCGUGUGGUUUGCAGAGAGCGAUGGAGAUCAACUUUGCCCAUCCCUGAUCAAAAUGUAGAGAAACCUGCUAAGGUGUCUGGAGGACGGGGAAUCAAACAUAAUUGAAGAAAUACCUGGGGAUUGGAUGGGAGAGGGACUCAUGAGUUCCCACCCCUCACUGCAGAGCUAAUGGCAGUGGUGCCAGGAGGAGGAGGGUCAGUUUUCUUCAGAGAUGCAGUUCUGAGGAAGAUGGGGAACUGGGAGGGCAUAGGAGACAGAAAUAGGAGAGUUGGAGGGGAAGACUAUGAUCCAAAUGCAUUGUAUCUAAUAUAUGACAUUUUCAAAGAAUAAGUUUAAGUAUAUUUUUAGAAAACUAUGCUGCUGCUGUAACAACCUGUGGUACAAAUUCAUGACACUGAUACAGGCCUGAAGAGGCCCGUGGUUCUGACUUCAUUGAAAAGGCAAUUUUAUUUUGCAGUUAUGUUAUCUCCUAUGACAAAACAAAAAGUAGUAAAUAAUAAUACCUUAUAAAGAAAUAUGAAUACAACUAGACAUAACCAACGCCAUCUUAAUUGUCCUUGGUUAUAGGACAACCCAAUGUGGUUAUAAAACCACCCUGGCUUAACGUUCCUGAUACAGCUGCCAACCAUUGAGCUGUUUGUUCUUGAUUUCUGCUGAAGUGGGUUGGGUACUUUCCAGUAAAAACCGCCUAAACCCGUCCUUACUCAUAUUUGCCUAGCACGUAGCAGAGAAGCCUUCCUGUUUGCACACCAUGCUGCUGGCUCAUAGCCCUGUGAUCAGACAUAUUUCCUCCUGUGGCAGCUGCUUCUUAUUCACCAGAACUCCAUGUUUCCUGAAACAGGCUUUCUCCAUAUUGUGGAAAACUUGCAUGAUUGAAUCUUCCUACUUCUGAAGAUGAAAUGAGUAGUUCUUUGCACACAAAGUUUGGAGGGUGCUUCUCAUUCUUCUCUUCUUCUCCUUUUUCUCAUUUACCUGAGAAGAAUUUUAAAUGGGUCAAAGGAAUGAGUGUCAGUCACCAAACUGACAAGUUGCCUUGAAUACCUGUAACUUUGUUAGAAUAAUAAAUUCUGGAGAAAACUAGUCUCAAUGUU